rnacentral:rRNA from 1 species
GACGAACGCUGGCGGCGUGCCUAAUACAUGCAAGUUGAGCGCUGAAGGUUGGUACUUGUACCGACUGGAUGAGCAGCGAACGGGUGAGUAACGCGUGGGGAAUCUGCCUUUGAGCGGGGGACAACAUUUGGAAACGAAUGCUAAUACCGCAUAAAAACUUUAAACACAAGUUUUAAGUUUGAAAGAUGCAAUUGCAUCACUCAAAGAUGAUCCCGCGUUGUAUUAGCUAGUUGGUGAGGUAAAGGCUCACCAAGGCGAUGAUACAUAGCCGACCUGAGAGGGUGAUCGGCCACAUUGGGACUGAGACACGGCCCAAACGCCUACGGGAGGCAGCAGUAGGGAAUCUUCGGCAAUGGACGAAAGUCUGACCGAGCAACGCCGCGUGAGUGAAGAAGGUUUUCGGAUCGUAAAACUCUGUUGGUAGAGAAGAACGGUGGUGAGAGUGGAAAGCUCAUCAAGUGACGGUAACUACCCAGAAAGGGACGGCUAACUACGUG